rnacentral:pre_miRNA from 1 species
AUCAAAGGAACGAUCGUUGUGAUAUGAGUUUAAUUCAUUAACAUAUCACAGUGAUUUUCCUUUAUAUUG